UACGUAGGGAGGCAAGCGUUGUCCGGAAUUACUGGGCGUAAAGCGCGUGUAGGUGGUGGGACAAGUCUGCUGUGAAAGCGCCUGGCUUAACCGGGCGAGGUCAGCGGAAACUGUCCGACUAGAGGACGGUAGAGGGGGUGGAAUUCCCGGUGUAGUGGUGAAAUGCGUAGAGAUCGGGAGGAACACCUGUGGCGAAGGCGGCCCCCUGGGCCGGCCCUGACACUGAGACGCGAAGGCGUGGGGAGCGAACGGG
rnacentral:rRNA from 1 species